CUACGGGAUGCUGCUGACGAGAAUAAUGGACACUGGGGGAAACCCUGAUCCUGCGACGUCGCGUGCUUGAUGAAGUCCUUCGGGAUGUAAAGAGCUUUUAUAGGGGAAUAACUUUUGUGAACGUACUCUAUGAAUAAGGGGAUGCAAAUCACGUGCCAGCAGCCGCGGUAAUACGUGAUCCCCAAGCGUUAUCCGGAUUUAUUGGGCGUAAAGAGUCUGUAGGCGGAUUGGAAAGUCUUUGGUUAAAUAUCUAGGGCUUAACCUUAGAGGUGCCAAAGAAACUUCCAGACUAGAGGGCGCUAGAGGCUGAUGGAACGGUCGGUGUAGGGGUGAUAUCCGUUGAUAUCGACCGGAACACUAAAAGCGAAGGCAUUCAGCUGGGGCGACCCUGACGCUGAGAGACGAAAGCGUGGGUAGCAAAAAGGAUUAGAUACCCCCGUAGUC
rnacentral:rRNA from 1 species